rnacentral:lncRNA from 1 species
AGCAAUGUACUGGAAUUGGCACUGGACAAGAACUUGUUUUUCUUGUCCCUUAGAGCCCGAGUGCUUGGAGUUCCGGGUUCAGAGAGGUUGCUGAAUGAGCCACCAGGUGGUGAGAGGGCUCCGUGUUACGGCUCUUCCUCCACUCAGUACCUCUGAUCUUUGUGGCCCUGCUUCUGGGAGGUGCUGGGAGUCAUUGCUCCGCACAGAGGACAGUCUGCAGCCACCUAUCCUAGUGAGGCAUCUCCUGCCUGGGUGUCUGGAUCUCUGCAGCUCUUGGUCCUCACAGCAACAGUGGCUUCAUAUGGUCAGGGCUGGGCUUGAGAGCUGCCAGGUGAAGAGCUGUCAUCCUCCUCCUCCUCCUCCUCCAAGGGUCUCACUCAGCUGGAGAGGUGACUGUGUGAAGAUUGCCUGCUUCUACCAAAGGUCACGUUUUUUUUGCACGUAA